rnacentral:rRNA from 1 species
UGCCAGCAGCCGCGGUAAUACGGAGGGUGCAAGCGUUGUCCGGAUUUAUUGGGUUUAGAGGGUGCGUAGGCGGUCUGCUAAGUCAGUGGUGAAAUAUCGGAGCUUAACUUCGAAAGUGCCAUUGAAACUGGCAGACUUGAGCGUUGUUGAGGCAGGCGGAAUUUAUGGUGUAGCGGUGAAAUGUAUAGAUACCAUAAAGAACACCUAUAGCGAAGGCAGCUUGCUAGACGAUCACUGACGCUGAUGCACGAAAGCGUGGGGAGCGAACAGGAUUAGAUA